AGUGAACGCUGGCGGUAGGCCUAACACAUGCAAGUCGAACGGCAGCACAGUAAAAGCUUGCUCUUACGGGUGGCGAGUGGCGGACGGGGGAGGAAUACAUCGGAAUCUACUUUUUCGUGGGGGAUAACGUAGGGAAACUUACGCUAAUACCGCAUACGACCUACGGGUGAAAGCAAGGGAUCUUCGGACCUUGCGCGAUUGAAUGAGCCGAUGUCGGAUUAGCUAGUUGGCGGGGUAAAGGCCCACCAAGGCGACGAUCCGUAGCUGGUCUGAGAGGAUGAUCAGCCACACUGGAACUGAGACACGGUCCAGACUCCUACGGGAGGCAGCAGUGGGGAAUAUUGGACAAUGGGCGCAAGCCUGAUCCAGCCAUACCGCGUGGGUGAAGAAGGCCUUCGGGUUGUAAAGCCCUUUUGUUGGGAAAGAAAAGCAGCAGGUUAAUACCCCGCUGUUCUGACGGUACCCAAAGAAUAAGCACCGGCUAACUUCGUG
rnacentral:rRNA from 1 species